rnacentral:rRNA from 1 species
GUCCACACCAAGAGCAAAUUCCAGUACAACCCGAAGUGGAUCAAUGUUCUCGAGGGAUCUCAAGAAGGGUCUUACAUGUGGGUUGCUCUGAACUAUCUGUUGGAUAGAUUGGGAGGAGACUACUCGAAGACCGUAGGCGUGAUAGAUCUUGGUGGCGGCUCGGUUCAAAUGGCGUACGCCGUCUCUCCAAACGCCGCAGCGAACGCUCCGGCGACACCUGAUGGCAAGGACCCUUACAUCACCAAGGAGUAUCUCAAGGGAAAAGACUACAACGUCUAUGUCCACAGCUACCUGUACUACGGCAACUUGGCUGCUCGCGUGGAGAUCCUCAAGGCCAAGUCCGGGCCGUUCAGCUCGUGCAUGCUGCGCGGAUCCACCGGCAACUACACCUACAACGGGGAGGUCUAUGAUGCGACGGCGGCACCGGAAGGGGCAGUGUACACCAAGUGCAGGAAGGAGGUGGCUAAGGCGCUGAAGUUGGACGCACCUUGCGCGAACAAGAAAUGCACCUUCGGCGGCGUGUGGGGCGGCGGCGGCGGCGCCGGGCAGGCCACACUGUACGCUGCCAGCUUCUUCUACGGCAAGGCCACCCAGGUCGGGUGGGUGGAUAAGGACGCCCCGAGCGCCAAGUCAAGUCCGGGGGUGUUCAGGGCGGCGGCCAAGAAGAUCUGCCCGCUGAGCCUCGAGGAAGCCAAGGCGGCAUAUCCCGGGGUGCGCGAGACGCCCUACAUCUGCAUGGACCUGGUGUACCAGUACACGCUGCUCGUCUACGGGGUCGAUCUGUCGCCGGCGAGGGAGAUCACGCUGGUGGACAAGGUGAAGCACGGGGAGUACUUCAUGGAGGCCGCCUGGCCGCUCGGCAAGGCCAUCGAGGAUUCGAGGCCGUCGCGCCCAAGAAGCGCAUCCAACAUGAUCCGCCAGUCAACAUUGGAUGAUCUCUAG